CCUACGGGAGGCAGCAGUGGGGAAUAUUGCACAAUGGGGGGAACCCUGAUGCAGCGACGCCGCGUGAGUGAAGAAGUAUUUCGGUAUGUAAAGCUCUAUCAGCAGGGAAGAAAAUGACGGUACCUGACUAAGAAGCCCCGGCUAACGACGGGCCAGCAGCCGCGGGAAUACGUAGGGGGCAAGCGUUAUCCGGAUUUACUGGGGGUAAAGGGAGCGUAGACGGCAGAGCAAGUCUGAAGUGAAAGCCCGCGGCCCAACUGCGGGACUGCUUUGGAAACUGCCCGGCGAGAGUGCUGGCGAGGUAAGCGGAAUUCCUAUUGUAGCGGUGAAAUGCGUAGAUAUUAGGAGGAACACCAGUGGCGACGGCGGCUUACCGGACCGUAACUGACGUUGCGGCUCGAACGCGUGGGGAGCAAACAGGAUUAGAUACCCGGGUAGUC
rnacentral:rRNA from 1 species